rnacentral:rRNA from 1 species
AUGUGUGGACGGGAUAAGUGCUGAAAGCAUCUAAGCAUGAAGCCCCCCUCAAGAUGAGAUUUCCCAACUUCGGUUAUAAGAUCCCUCAAAGAUGAUGAGGUUAAUAGGUUCGAUGUGGAAGCAUGGUGACAUGUGGAGCUGACGAAUACUAAUCGAUCGAAGACUUAAUCAA